rnacentral:rRNA from 1 species
UACGUAGGGGGCGAGCGUUAUCCAGAUUUAUUGGGCGUAAAGGGCUCGUAGGCGGCCAACUAAGUCAUACGUGAAAUCCCCCGGCUUAACCGGGGAACUGCGUCUGAUACUGGAUGGCUUGAGUUCGGGAGAGGGAUGCGGAAUUCCAGGUGUAGCGGUGAAAUGCGUAGAUAUCUGGAGGAACACCGGUGGCGAAGGCGGCAUCCUGGACCGAUACUGACGCUGAGGAGCGAAAGCCAGGGGAGCAAACGGG